AAUCUCCAUUUUUAGACCUUUGGGAGGGGAGGAGUGGUCUGGAGGGUCAGAGUGGCUCUGGAUUUCCUCCUGAAAGGGUGGAGUUUGGAGUUGGUGUCUAGUCAGGAAUGGAAAAAUGGAAGCGUGCUUUGAUAAGUAGAUGAGAAAGGGAAGACACCCUCUAGGGCAGACCAGGGAGGAUAUCCUUCCACCUUCCUUCAGGGUUGACCCAGCAACUCGCAUUGGCUGAAACUGGUUCUGAAGAAUGAGCCAUGAAUUGGCAACAGAAAAGACCAGGUCUCAAGUUUCUCACUAAGAUUUUGAUGAAGCAUCUCACAGUUUCCAGGGGAGGGUUCAGUUUUGCCCUUGUGUGAAGACAUCUGGAAAUGACUGACGUGAAAAGAAAAGUCAUUUUAAAAAAGCAUAACCAAAAAAUAAAAAAAAGAGGAAACCCAGACUCAUUUGGAAGAGGGACGGAGAACUGGAGGAUCUAUUAUCAACAUUAUAUGAAGCUGUGUGUCCUUUGGAAUCCCCUUCUUACCCUGACUGGACAAGCACACUGUGGCGACUGGAAUGCUUGAGCCUCGGUUCUUUCAUCUCUCCUAUAAGAGAUUUGUGCUGCGUACUCUCUGAAGCCUCUUCCAGUUUUGUGGGACAAAGUUAAAAGGUAGGGGAUAGAGUGAAAUCAGGAAUUCUGGACUUCAUUCUUCUUUAGAUACUGACUUGUGAUCAUGGGCAAAUCACUUCAAGCCUCAAAUGUCACAAUGGUAAAUGGGUAUCUACCUCAAAGGAGUGUUUUGAGGAAAGUGAUUUUCAAACCUUAUGGAAUGGGGAGAUGCUAUUUUUUAAAAUGAAAAAGUCAUACAGCUCAAGCCAGGACUGGAAUUCAGGUCUUUGGAAUACCAAGCCAGUACUCUACAUUCUUUUCUUUUCCUAUGAUAGUGACCACAUGAAGUAGUAGAUUGUUAGUGCUAGAAGGACCUUAGAGGUCAUAUGCUUCAAUCCUUUUAUCUCACACAGGAGAAAAUGAAAGCCUAGAAAGUUUGGUUAAAGUGAACUGCUUAAGGUCACAAAGGUAAUGAGAAGCAGAACUAGGAUUUAAAUCAAUCAGUCAAUAAACAAAAUUUAUUAAGUGCCUACUACUAGUAG
rnacentral:lncRNA from 1 species